AUACGUAGGGGGCGAGCGUUGUCCGGAAUGAUUGGGCGUAAAGGGCGCGUAGGCGGCCCGGUAAGUCUGGAGUGAAAGUCCUGUUUUUAAGAUGGGAAUUGCUUUGGACACUGUCGGGCUUGCGUACAGGAGAGGUAAGUGGAAUUCCCAGUGUAGCGGUGAAAUGCGUAGAGAUUGGGAGGAACACCAGUGGCGAAGGCGACUUACAGGACUGUAAAUGACGCUGAGUCGCGAAAGUGUGGAGAGCAAACAGGAUUAGAUAACCUGGUAGUCCACACUGUAAACGAUGAAUGCUAGGUGUAGGGAGUAUCGACCCCUUCUGUGCCUCAGUCAACACAAUAAGCAUUCCGCCUGGUGAGUACGGCCGCAAGGUUGAAACUUAAAGGAAUUGACGGGG
rnacentral:rRNA from 1 species